rnacentral:rRNA from 1 species
AGCAGCCGCGGUAAUUCCAGCCCCAAUAGCGUAUAUUAAAGUUGUUGCGGUUAAAAGGCUCGUAGUUGAAUUUCGGGGUUAGUAGGUUGGUCAUGCCUCUGGUAUGUACUGGUCUCACUGAUUCCUCCUUCCUUAUGAACCGUAAUGCCAUUAAUUUGGUGUUGCGGGGAAACAGGACUGUUACUUUGAAAAAAUUAGAGUGUUUAAAGCAGGCUCACGCUUGAAUACAUUAGCAUGGAAUAAUGAAAUAGGACGAUCGAUCCUAUUUUGUUGGUUUCUAGGAUUGACGUAAUGAUUAAUAGGGAUAGUUGGGGGCAUUAGUAUUCAAUUGUCAGAGGUGAAAUUCUUGGAUUUAUUGAAGACUAACUACUGCGAAAGCAUUUGCCAAGGAUGUUUUCAUUAAUCAAGAACGAAAGUUAGGGGAUCGAAAACGAUCAGAUACCGUCGUAG